CUUACCAUGCAAGUCGAACGAUGAAGCCCAGCUUGCUGGGUGGAUUAGUGGCGAACGGGUGAGUAACACGUGAGUAACCUGCCCUUAACUCUGGGAUAAGCCUGGGAAACUGGGUCUAAUACCGGAUAGGAGCGUCCACCGCAUGGUGGGUGUUGGAAAGAUUUAUCGGUUUUGGAUGGACUCGCGGCCUAUCAGCUUGUUGGUGAGGUAAUGGCUCACCAAGGCGACGACGGGUAGCCGGCCUGAGAGGGUGACCGGCCACACUGGGACUGAGACACGGCCCAGACUCCUACGGGAGGCAGCAGUGGGGAAUAUUGCACAAUGGGCGCAAGCCUGAUGCAGCGACGCCGCGUGAGGGAUGACGGCCUUCGGGUUGUAAACCUCUUUCAGUAGGGAAGAAGCGAAAGUGACGGUACCUGCAGAAGAAGCACCGGCUAACUACGUGCCAGCAGCCGCGGUAAUACGUAGGGUGCGAGCGUUAUCCGGAAUUAUUGGGCGUAAAGAGCUCGUAGGCGGUUUGUCGCGUCUGUCGUGAAAGUCCGGGGCUUAACCCCGGAUCUGCGGUGGGUACGGGCAGACUAGAGUGCAGUAGGGGAGACUGGAAUUCCUGGUGUAGCGGUGGAAUGCGCAGAUAUCAGGAGGAACACCGAUGGCGAAGGCAGGUCUCUGGGCUGUAACUGACGCUGAGGAGCGAAAGCAUGGGGAGCGAACAGGAUUAGAUACCUGGGGUAGUC
rnacentral:rRNA from 1 species